rnacentral:rRNA from 1 species
UACGGAGGAUGCAAGCGUUAUCCGGAAUUACUGGGCGUAAAGGGUUCGUAGGUGGCCAACUAAGUCAGACGUGAAAUCCCUCAGCUUAACUGGGGAACUGCGUCUGAUACUGGUUGGCUUGAGUGCAGGAGAGGAAUGCGGAAUUCCAGGUGUAGCGGUGAAAUGCGUAGAUAUCUGGAGGAACACCGGUGGCGAAGGCGGCGUUCUGGACUGCAACUGACACUGAGGAACGAAAGCCAGGGGAGCAAACGGG